rnacentral:misc_RNA from 1 species
GAUGAAGAACGUAGCGAAAUGCGAUACGUAAUGUGAAUUGCAGAAUUCAGUGAAUCAUCGAAUCUUUGAACGCAUAUUGCGCUCUCUGGUAUUCCGGAGAGCAUGCUUGUUUGAGUAUCAGUAAACACCUCAACUCUUUUUUCUUUUUUGAAAUUGGAGCUGGACUUGAGUGAUCCCAACGCUUUCUUCCAAGAAAGUGGCGGGUUGCUUGAAAUGCAGGUGCAGCUGAACUUUUCUCUGAGCUAUAAGCAUAUCUAUUUAGUCUGCCUAAAAAACAGAUUAUUACCUUUGCUGCAGCUAACAUAAAGGAGACUAGUUCUUGUGCUGACUGAUGCAGCAUUCACAGAGACAGCUUCGGCUGACUUUGUAAACUCGAUCUCAAAUCAAGUAAGACUACCCGCUGAACUUAAGCAUAUCAAUAAGCGGAGGA